GUGGGGAAUAUUGGACAAUGGGCGCAAGCCUGAUCCAGCAAUUCCGCGUGAGCGAAGAAGGCCUUCGGGUUGUAAAGCUCUUUCGGCGGGGACGAUAAUGACGGUACCCGCAGAAGAAGCCCCGGCUAACUCCGUGCCAGCAGCCGCGGUAAUACGGAGGGGGCUAGCGUUGUUCGGAAUCACUGGGCGUAAAGCGCACGUAGGCGGCUACUCCAGUCAGAGGUGAAAGCCCGGGGCUCAACUCCGGAAUUGCCUUUGAAACUAGGUAGCUUGAACGUCGGAGAGGUAAGUGGAAUUCCGAGUGUAGAGGUGAAAUUCGUAGAUAUUCGGAAGAACACCAGUGGCGAAGGCGACUUACUGGACGACUGUUGACGCUGAGGUGCGAAAGCGUGGGGAGCAAACAGGAUUAGAAACCCUGGUAGUCC
rnacentral:rRNA from 1 species